UGGGGGAUAGAGGUGACUACAGAGUGGUAGAGGUGACUACAGAGUGGUAGAGGUGACUACACAGUGGUAGAGGUGACUACAGAGUGGUAGAGGUGACUACAGAGUGGUAGAGAUGGGGGAUAGAGGUGACUACACAGUGGUAGAGGUGACUACACAGUGGUAGAGGUGACUACAGAGUGGUAGAGGUGACUACAGAGUGGCAGAGAUGACUACACAGUGGUAGA